GAUCUUCCUUCUAUUGUAUUAUCUCUGGCUUAAGUGAUACAGUUGUAAGGGAAACCAUCACUAGGAACAACACACCAUCUUCAUUCUUGAGAUAACCAAAAGGCUUGAGUUUGAAGAAACUGAAGAACCUGAUUUUACUGCAUUAUGUCAGAAAUUAAAGAUACCAGAUCAUGUCAGAGAAAGAGCUUGGUUAACUUGGGAGAAAGUUUCAUCUGUGGAUGGAGUCUUGGAAGGUUAUGUUCAAAAGAAAAAGGAACUAUGGGGAAUCUGUAUCUUUACUGCAGCAGUUGACCUAGAUGAGAUGCCGUUCACUUUCACUGAGCUGCAGAAAAACAUUGAAACCAGCGUCUAUAAAUUUUUUGACUUACUAAAAGAAAUCGAUACCAGUACCAAAGUUGAUAAUGUUAUGUCAAGACUGUUGAAGAAGUAUAAUGUGUUAUGUGCACUCUACAGCAAAUUAGAAAGGACAUGUGAACUUAUAUAUUUGUCACAACCCAGCAGUUCGAUAUCUACGGAAAUAAAUUCUAUGUUGGUGCUAAAAGUUUCUUGGCUCACAUUUUUACUAGCUAAAGGGCAAGUUUUACAAAUGGAAGAUGAUCUGGUGAUCUCAUUUCAGUUAAUGCUGUGUGUCCUUGACUAUUUUAUCAAGCUCUCACCUCCUGCAUUACUCAAAGAACCAUAUAAAACAGCUGUAAUACCUAUUAAUGGUUCACCUCGAACACCAAGGCGAGGUCAGAACAGGAGUGCACGGAUAGCAAAACAACUAGAAAAUGAUACAAGAAUUAUUGAAGUUCUCUGUAAAGAACAUGAAUGUAAUAUAGAUGAGGUGAAAAAUGUUUAUUUCAAAAAUUUUAUACCUUUUAUGAAUUCUCUUGGAAUUGUAGCUUCUAAUGGACUUCCAGAGGUGGAAAGUCUCUCUAAACAAUAUGAAGAAAUUUACCUUAAAAACAAAGAUAUAGAUGCAAGAUUAUUUCUGGAUCAUGAUAAAACUCUUCAGGCUGAUCCUACAGACAGUUUUGAAAUGCAGAGAACACCACGAAAAAGUAACCCCGAUGAAGAGGUAAAUGUGAUUCUUCCACAGACUCCAGUUCGGACUGUCAUGAAUACUAUCCAGCAAUUAAUGAUGAUCUUAAAUUCAGCAAGUGAUCAACCGUCAGAAAAUCUGAUUUCCUAUUUUAAUAAUUGCACAGUGAAUCCAAAGGAAAGUAUCCUGAAAAGAGUGAAGGAUAUUGGGUACAUCUUUAAAGAGAAAUUUGCUAAAGCUGUGGGACAGGGAUGUAUGGAAAUUGGAUCCCAGCGAUACAAACUUGGAGUCCGAUUGUAUUACCGAGUAAUGGAAUCCAUGCUUAAAUCAGAAGAAGAACGAUUAUCCAUUCAAAAUUUUAGCAAACUCCUGAAUGACAACAUCUUUCAUAUGUCUUUGUUGGCAUGCGCUCUUGAGGUUGUAAUGGCUACAUAUAGCAGAAGUACAUCUCAGAAUCUGGAUACUGGAACAGAUUUGUCCUUCCCUUGGAUUCUGAAUGUACUUAAUUUAAAAGCUUUUGAUUUUUACAAGGUGAUUGAAAGUUUUAUCAAAGCAGAAGCCAACUUGACCAGAGAAAUGAUUAAACAUUUAGAACGAUGUGAACAUCGAAUCAUGGAAUCCCUUGCGUGGCUCUCAGAUUCACCUUUAUUUGAUCUUAUUAAACAAGCAAAGGACCGAGAAGGACCAGCUGAUCACCUUGAACCUGCUUGUACUCUCAACCUUCCUCUCCAGAAUAAUCACACUGCAGCAGAUAUGUAUCUUUCUCCUGUAAGAUCCCCAAAGAAAAAAGGGUCAACUACACGUGUAAAUUCUACUGCAAAUUCAGAGGCACAAGCAACCUCAGCCUUCCAGACUCAGAAGCCAUUGAAAUCUACCUCCCUUUCACUCUUUUACAAAAAAGUGUAUCGACUAGCAUAUCUUCGACUAAAUACCCUGUGUGCACGCCUUCUGUCUGACCACCCAGAACUAGAACAUAUCAUCUGGACCCUUUUCCAACACACACUGCAAAAUGAGUAUGAACUCAUGAGAGACAGGCAUUUGGACCAGAUUAUGAUGUGUUCCAUGUAUGGCAUAUGCAAAGUGAAGAAUAUAGACCUUAAAUUCAAAAUCAUUGUAACAGCAUACAAAGAUCUUCCUCAUGCUGUUCAGGAGACAUUCAAACGUGUUUUGAUCAGAGAAGAGGAGUAUGAUUCUAUUAUCGUAUUCUAUAAUUCAGUCUUCAUGCAGAGACUGAAAACAAAUAUUUUGCAGUAUGCUUCCACCAGGCCCCCUACCUUGUCACCAAUUCCUCACAUUCCUCGAAGCCCUUACAAGUUUUCUAGCUCACCUUUACGGGUUCCUGGGGGGAACAUAUACAUAUCACCCCUGAAGAAUCCGUAUAAAAUUUCAGAAGGUCUGCCUGUGCCAACAAAAAUGACUCCAAGAUCAAGAAUCUUAGUAUCAAUUGGUGAAUCAUUUGGGACUUCUGAGAAGUUCCAGAAAAUAAAUCAAAUGGUGUGUAACAGCGACCGUGUGCUCAAAAGAAGUGCUGAAGGAAGCAACCCUCCUAAACCACUGAAAAAACUGCGCUUCGACAUUGAAGGAUCGGAUGAAGCAGAUGGAAGUAAACAUCUCCCAGGCGAGUCCAAAUUUCAACAGAAACUGGCAGAAAUGACAUCUACUCGAACACGAAUGCAAAAGCAGAAAAUGAAUGAUAGCACGGAUACCUCAAACAGGGAAGAAAAGUGAGGACCUCACGACCUUGGUGGGCACCCUGUACACCUCCGGCUUCAUUGUCUCCCACAGAUCUGACUGUAGAACUCUCCCAGGUUCUGUUUACGGCCACAUUUGAUACAUACCUUCAGCUCUUUUUUGUGGAUAGCACAGUUGAGUAUUUGUGCAGGGGAUUCCUAUGCCACUUGCAACAUUGUAGUUACUAGAACAUGCAUUGUUAUUGUACAAGAUUGAAAAUCCUGUGCCAGUCCUGCCAUUUAAAAAGCUGUAGCAGAUGUUUCUGUUUCCAAAAUACAGUAAGUCCCCUACAUACGAACCUUCAAGAUACGAACUUUCAAAGAUGCGAACAAUUGAAUCCAGCAAGGAACCAGAACCUGUGCCAUCAACGUCAGGCGUGAGUGAAAUUGCAGCUUGCCCUCCGUCUCCUAUUGCUGACAAGCCCUCAGCUCUACCAUCUCCCACCUCCUCCCCCUCCUCCAGCCAGUAACUCUUCUUGCCUGUUCAGGCAAUGCCAGCCCCUGUGUGCCAGCUGUUGUACUGUACUACUGUACUUUUCAAGGGCUCAGCUCAGAGGCCUUCCUUGACACCCAAGCUAAAAUCCUUCCUCUGUACUGUGCCACUCUCCUUGAAAAGUGUAACAGCAUUCAUCACCGUCAGAAACUGCCUGACUCGGGCUGCCUAUUGCCUGUUUACCCACCCCGGCAUCAACCUGGCUGGUCUUACCUACUACUAUAGUUCUAGCAUCUAGAAGAAGCCCGUAUGUAGGGGGGAAAAAAAGGUAUGUUUUCUGUAUGUUUUCCAAGUAUGUAGAAACAAUAUUCUCUUUCUCUUUGAAAACGCCAUGUACUGAGUACCUACUGUGUUUCAGGCACAUUCUAAAUGUAAGUGAUAUAACAACAAAUAAAUAAAAUUAAGAUUCCCCCUCUCCGUGGAACUUACAUUCUAAUUCUAGUUUCGGGAAAAGAGAGCAAACGAAUAAAUAAACGAGGAAUAUAGUAUAUGUGAUUGUAUUAAGUUCUGUGGAGAAAGACAUGCCAGGGAGGAGGACAGGGAGUACCGGUAGGGAGAGGAGUUUUAACACUUAAAGGAGAGUGGUCAGGGCAAGACUUGCCGAGGUGCUAUUUGAGCAAAGUGUUGCAGAGGGUGAAGGAGUGAGCCAGGCACCAGAGGGGGUAGAAGAGAACACAGAGAGGAAAAGCCAGUGCUCAGAGGUGGGUGUGCGUCGGGUGUGUCUGAGGAAACAUAAGAUGUCCUAGUAAGAUGGAGAGUUUUAAGAAAAGGAGCCGGGGCGGGGGUGGGGGGGGGGCAAGUAUCUCUUUCAUCUAACACAGAGUUUAUAAAGGCCUUUCCUUCCAAGCAUCCUUCACACACACACACACACACACACACACACACACACACACACACACACACACACACACACAUAUA